rnacentral:rRNA from 1 species
GAUGAACGCUGGCGGCGUGCCUAAUACAUGCAAGUCGAACGGACAGGCCCUGCUCUUGCGCCGCGCACGUUUGGCGCACGCGUGUGAAUAACACGUGUAUACCGUACCUGUAUUACGGAUAACUCUUCGAGAAACCGGAUCUAAUACCAUAGGAGAUCUUGCAGCACGUUGGGCGUUGGUGAGUUACGGCGGUUGGGGAUAGACUAGCGGCUUAUCCGCUUGUUGGUGGGGUAGUGGCUUACCAAGCCUUUGACGGGUAGCCGGCCUGAGAGGGUGACCGGCGACAAGGGGACUGAGAGACGGCCCAGACGCCUACGGGAGGCAGCAGUGGAGAAUAUUGCGCAAUGAGCGGAAGCGAGAUACAGCGGCGCCGCGUUCGUGAUGACGUCUUAUGAGGGGUAAACAACUGUCUCCUGUGAUGUAGCGGGAGUGACGGUAAUUGGUAAGAAAGCACCGGCUAACUACGUG